rnacentral:rRNA from 1 species
AUUCCAGCUCCAAUAGCGUAUAUUAAAGUUGUUGCAGUUAAAAAGCUCGUAGUUGGAUUUCUGGUGCAUUCCACUGGCCUAUUGGUUAACUCCAACUUGGCUCAUUUGGAAUACGCCAUCUUUAGGCAGACCCGUCGUGGCAUUAGGUUGUCGUGAUGGUUACGCCUAUCGUUUACUGUGAAGAAAUUAGGGUGUUCAAAGCAGGCUUAUGCCAUGAAUACGUUAGCAUGGAAUAAUGAGAUAGGAUUUCGGUACUACUUUGUUGGUUUGUGUACGGAAAUAAUGAUUAACAGGAACAGUGUUGUGGGUAUUCGUAUUUCGUUGUCAGAGGUGAAAUUCUUGGAUUUACGAAAGACGAACGACUGCGAAAGCAUUUACCAAGGAUGUUUUCAUCG